AGUGAACGCUGGCGGUAGGCCUAACACAUGCAAGUCGAACGGCAGCACAGUAAGAGCUUGCUCUUAAGGGUGGCGAGUGGCGGACGGGUGAGGAAUACAUCGGAAUCUACUUUUUCGUGGGGGAUAACGUAGGGAAACUUACGCUAAUACCGCAUACGACCUACGGGUGAAAGCAGGGGAUCUUCGGACCUUGCGCGAUUGAAUGAGCCGAUGUCGGAUUAGCUAGUUGGGGGGGGAAAGGCCCACCAAGGCGACGAUCCGUAGCUGGUCUUAGAGGAUGAUCAGCCGCACUGGAACUGAGACACGGUCCAUACUCCGACGGGAGGCAGCAGUGGGGAAUAUUGGACAAUGGGCGCAAGCCGGAUCCAGCCAUACCGCGUGGGUGAAGAAGGCCUUCGGGUUGUAAAGCCCUUUUGUUGGGAAAGAAAAUCAGCAGGUUAAUACCCCGCUGUUCUGACGGUACCCAAAGAAUAAGCACCGGCUAACUUCGUG
rnacentral:rRNA from 1 species